rnacentral:rRNA from 1 species
UACAGAGGCCCCAAGCGUUACUGAGAAUCACUGGGUUUAAAGGGUGCGUAGGUGGCGCGUUAAGUCCGUUGUGAAAUCCCUUGGCUCAACCAAGGAACCGCUUCGGAUACUGGCGUGCUUGAGGCUAGUAGGGGUUACUGGAACUGACGGUGGAGCGGUGAAAUGCGUAGAUAUCGUCAGGAACGCCAAUGGUGAAGACAGGUAACUGGGCUAGUUCUGACACUGAGGCACGAAAGCGUGGGGAGCGAACGGG